ACAGAGGGCUUUGACCCAUAUGUCUCAGGCCUCAUCAGCAUGACUACAGAAUAGAGACAUUUAUUUAUUUAUUUUGUAAUUGCCUAAAUUACGAAAUUGUGUACUCCCCUCCUUUUCUUGCCCAAAUGCUAAAAACUGGAACCCCCUACCUCAACUGCUCUCUCAGUAUUCUGAGAGCUCUCAGUGUCAGGUUUCACUGUUCCUCCCUCCUCCACUCCCCAGGUCUCUGUCUUCCUCUGCGCUGUCAUGACCUUCGGGGCUGGGCUGCUGUGAUCAUCCCUGCCACCUUCCAGAGACCACUCUCAUACCCUCUGCUUGAUCUCAGAAAAUAGACCUCUGCCCUCCUGUUUUCCAGCUUGUCUGAACUGUAUGUAGCACAGGCCCUUCCAUAAUUCCCCGUAAUACAACUGAGGCCAACCACGUUGCCUGUCCUGAGAAAACUCAAAGACAAUGGUGCCAAGGAAGAACAGAAUUUCAUAAAUGAAGAAUGACAGAUGGCACUAAGAGUUCAAGUAAGGUUUCCAAGCAUGAAGCAGACCCAGCUCAGGGAAAGAGAAAAGGUUUAAAUUGGAAGAGUCUUGGAGAUUCUCAGCAAACAAUCUCAGUUAAGAAAGAGGAAAUGAAGUUAUUUAUGUGACUGAAUUUGCAUAGCAGAGACUACAGUUCCACCAAAUACUCGAUGAGAAAAUGAGUCUCGACUUGCAGAGCCAAGAUGACCAAAUAGGAACAGCUCCAGUCUACAGCUCCCAGCCUGAGCGACGCAGAAGAUGGGUGAUUUCUGCAUUUCCAUCUGAGGUACCGGGUUCAUCUCACUAGGAAGUGCCAGAGAGUGGGCGCAGGUCAGUGGGUGCGUGCACCGUGCGCGAGCCGAAGCAGGGUGAGGUGUUGCCUCACUCGGGAAGCGCAUGGGGUCAGGGAGUUCCCUUUCCUAGUCAAAGAAAGGGGUGACGGACGGCACCUGGAAAAUCGGGUCACUCCCACCCUAAUACUGUGCUUUUCUGACGGGCUUAAAAAAACGGCACACCAGGAGAUUAUAUCCCGCACAUGGCUCGGAGGGUCCUAUGCCCACGGAGUCUCACUGAUUGCUAGC
rnacentral:lncRNA from 1 species